rnacentral:misc_RNA from 1 species
GAUGAAGAACGUAGCGAAAUGCGAUAAGUAAUGUGAAUUGCAGAAUUCAGUGAAUCAUCGAAUCUUUGAACGCACAUUGCGCCCGCCAGUAUUCUGGCGGGCAUGCCUGUUCGAGCGUCAUUUCAACCAUCAAGCCCCAGGCUUGUGUUGGGGACCUGCGGCUGCCGCAGGCCCUGAAAACCAGUGGCGGGCUCGCUGUCACACCGGGCGUAGUAGAUUUUAUCUCGCUCAGGGCGUGCUGCGGGUUCCGGCCGUUAAAAAGCCUUUUUUACCCAAGGUUGACCUCGGAUCAGGUAGGAAUACCCGCUGAACUUAAGCAUGUCAAUAAGCGGAGGA